GAUUAUGGCUCAGGACGAACGCUGGCGGCGUGCUUAACACAUGCAAGUCGAGCGAUGAAGCUCCUUCGGGAGUGGAUUAGCGGCGGACGGGUGAGUAACACGUGGGUAACCUGCCUCAUAGAGGGGAAUAGCCUUUCGAAAGGAAGAUUAAUACCGCAUAAGAUUGUAGUACUGCAUGGUACAGCAAUUAAAGGAGUAAUCCGCUAUGAGAUGGACCCGCGUCGCAUUAGCUAGUUGGUGAGGUAACGGCUCACCAAGGCGACGAUGCAUAGCCGACCUGAGAGGGUGAUCGGCCACAUUGGGACUGAGACACGGCCCAGACUCCUACGGGAGGCAGCAGUGGGGAAUAUUGCACAAUGGGGGAAACCCUGAUGCAGCAACGCCGCGUGAGUGAUGACGGCCUUCGGGUUGUAAAACUCUGUCUUUGGGGACGAUAAUGACGGUACCCAAGGAGGAAGCCACGGCUAACUACGUGCCAGCCGCAGC
rnacentral:rRNA from 1 species